GCUGGGCACAGUGGUGCAUGCCUAUAGUCCCAGCUACUUGGGAGGCUGAGGUGGGAGGAUCGCUUGAGCCCAGGAGUUCUGGCCUGUAGUGCGCUAUGCCAAUCAGGUGUCUGCACUAAGUUCGGCAUCAAUAUGGUGACCUCCCGGGAGCAGGGGACCACUAAGUUGCCUGAGGAGUGUGAACUGGCCCAGGUCGUAAACGGAGCAGGUCAAAAUUCCUGUGCUGAUCAGUAGUGGAAUCGUGCCUGUGAAUAGCCACUGUACUCCAGCCUGAGCAACAUAGUGAGACCCUGUCUCU
rnacentral:SRP_RNA from 1 species